UGGACACGAAAACGUGUCUUUAACUCACAUCACAGUGUGAUGAUCGCAUAUUAAAUAUGUCACAUGUAUUACGAAAUGUAUUUAGAUGUUCAAUAAAACUAUUUAGAUAUGAUAUUAUAAAAAUGUAAUCAACAAGUUUAAGUUCGCGGCAUAUACAUACAUACAAUUUGUGUAUAUACUAACUAGUCUGGCCAUAAAUACUGUUACAUAAAAACGUUUCUUAUUUUUAACUUUUUAAUUAUGUUGAUUUUGGAACACGUAUAUUAUUUUAAAAACUUAUUUCGAUUUUGCGCCAUUUCACAUAUUGUUUCGUGUUUAUUAUCAAAUUACAAUAUGGAAUGGGGUGUUAAUGAAAAUCUGAUUGCAAUGAUUGCCUUGCACAAAGUGGGUAUGGAGCCGUCGGUCAUAUUCCAGAAACUUCAAAAGCUUGUUAUCAGCGGACUCUGCACCUGGUCACAAGGCACGAACUACCCAAGCAUGGCUUGAAACUUGGAUUUUAUAACAGCUGAAGACUGGCCCUCAUCUAGCCCAGACCUCAACCUUUUAGACUUCAAAUUAUGGUCAGUUUUAGAGGACAUGGCCUGCUCUAAACCACACGGCGACAUUGAGUCUCUUAUAAAAUCUUUGGAGCAAGCAGUGCGUUAAUACUAUUCUAGUAAUUCGUGGCCAAACAGAUUAAAGGCCAAAGGUGGCCAUUUCGAAUAGAUUUUUUUAAAAUUUUUUGCUGUGACUUUAAUAUACAUACUUAAAUACUUUAAUAAAUAUGUUGUUAUUACAAAACUUCAUUAAAAGAAUA